GACGUAGGGCGCGAGCGUUGUCCGGAUUUAUUGGGCGUAAAGAGCUCGUAGGCGGCUUGUCGCGUCGUCCGUGAAAACCCACAGCUCAACUGUGGGCUUGCGGUCGAUACGGGCAGGCUAGAGUUCGGUAGGGGAGACUGGAAUUCCUGGUGUAGCGGUGAAAUGCGUAGAUAUCUGGAGGAACACCGGUGGCGAAGGCGGCAUCCUGGACCAACACUGACGCUGAGGAGCGAAAGCCAGGGGAGCAAACGGG
rnacentral:rRNA from 1 species